GACGAACGCUGGCGGCGUGCUUAACACAUGCAAGUCGAGCGGCGCGGCGAACGGGUGAGUAACGCGUGAGUAACUGCCCCCCUCUAUGGGCUAACAGUUGGAAACGGCUGCUAAUACCGGAUAGUGGGGGAUGAGUCACGUCCUAUCAGCAUGUGGGUGGGGUAGUGGCCUACCAAGGCGACGACGGGUAGCCGGCCUGAGAGGGCGACCGGCCACAGUGGGCUGAGAUACGGGCCAAACGCCUACGGGAGGCAGCAGUGGAGAAUAUUGCACGAUGGGGGAAACCCUGAUGCAGCAACGCGCGUGCGGGAUGACUGCCUUCGGGUUGUAAACCGCUUUCAGCCAUGACGCGGUAGUGGCAGAAGAAGCACCGGCUAACUACGUGCCAGCAGCCGCGGUAAUUC
rnacentral:rRNA from 1 species